rnacentral:lncRNA from 1 species
GCGGAUGCAGGCGUCGUCCUGGUUUGUCCUCGCUGGUCGGUGGCACUCCGUGGUUACGUGGUUGGCUCUGCUCAAGGGCAUGAGCAACCCUCCUACCUGCAGCUUGGCAUCUAUGGCGGCAAAGAAAUCCAAUCCGAGUAGCACGUCGUCGAGAGCCGAUGGCAGGACCAGCAUCAGGAGGCUAGCCCGUGAUUGUCCGAGUCGUACCUCUGCUUGAAUUGCCCGCGUUAGUUCCAUCCUUGUCCCAUUUGCCAAAGCUAUUGUUGUUCGCACUGUUCGUCUGUUAGCCGGGGUCUCGAUGAGUCGUGCCUUCUGCUUGCUGAGGAAACUCCGCGUGGCCCCCGUGUCCAGCGUCGCUAUCAUCACCUCAGCCUCGAUGCUUGCCUCGGCGGCAAGCCUGCCAUCUCGCGGACGCUAGUCCCGCUAGUCCCAGGACUCGCUCGUUGGCCCUCUCAUCUGUCCUGGGUUUGAUGAGGGGCGAUGGGCGUUUCCCGUCUCCUUAGCCUGGCAGCAGUCGAUGGUCCUCACUCCUCGGCGGCCACAGUUCCAGCAGAAUAGUGUCCGAGUUCCACGGCAUUCCCUGGCAAAGUGUCCAAGUACUCCGCAGUUCCGGCAGUUCGAGUUCCUGAGCUUCCGAGUAACCAGCGCGGUUCAUCAUUAGGCAAAUGUCCACUAGAUACUGCUUUUAUCCCUCGUUUUCCCUCUGGUAUCGCAUCCUGAUCUCGUCCUCCAGUCUCUGAAAGUACCGCGGGGGUAGGAAGAAAUCCAAAAACUCCCGGCGAAACACGUUCCAUGGCUCUCCCUGUAGAUGACUCGUGCGGAACCAGUCCUCGGCAGUACCUUUUCAAAGUUCCGGUACUCCUUGGGCCAAACUGCUGGUGUCCACUCGGUGUGAUACGGCUCGUUCCUCCAACCGCUCGAUGAAUCGCAAGGGAUCGCUGACGCCGUCAAAAGUGACUCCCCAGCGUUGCAUGCGCUCCACGCCCCUAGCUCCGGAGACGUCGCAUUGAUUUGGUAGCAUCACCCUCUCGUUGGUUCGCGACACGAACUGCUGC